rnacentral:tmRNA from 1 species
CCUCUUUCUUUUUCGAUAGAGUUUCCUUAUAUUAAGGUGGCUGGCUUGCCAGCUAUGGUAAUAAAUGGACAAUGAAAUAAACCUAUUGGACCCGGGGGCGGUACCCGGCGCCUCCACCAUAAAUCAAAAAUAAUGUUUGCUUUAUGAUGGGGGCGAAAUAGGAUCGACAAGGGCGUAAAGAUUGAUCUUUUACUCGGUAUUGUACCACCGUUAUCGGGCUAACUUAGUAGUUGCAAAUGACAACUAUGCGGAAGCUCGUCUCGCUGCUUAAUUGCGGCGCGUACGCUUCAAAUUGAGUCUUAAGCCGUCGCAGGUUUAAGCGGGGUUCGGAGGCACCUGGCAACAGAAGCCUUCACU